GGUUUACCGCAUAAACUAGGAUUAGAUACCCUAUUAUUUUGAGUGUUAAUGUUUUUGCCUGAGUAGUAUUAGUUGUGUUCUUGAAACUUAAAGAAUUUGGCGGUAUCCUAUUCCGUUCAGAGGAAUCUGUCUCGUUAUCGAUAGUCCGCGUUGGACCUUACUUAGAGUUAUAUUUUUGGUUUGUAUACCGCCGUUUAUUGAUUAUCUUUUUAGAGUUCCUUAAUUUUCUGGUUUCUUUAAUUUGAUUUAUUGCAGGUCAAGGUGCAGCUUUUUCUAAGUGUAAUGAUGGAUUACAGUGUUAUGUGUUGUUUGGAUUGUUUAUUUUAAUAUUGACAUGAAAUUGGAUUUGGUUGUAAUGUCUUGUAGAUUGUUUUCAUGAUAGUUGGUUCUAGGAUAUGUACACAUCGCCCGUCGCUCUCCAAUACG
rnacentral:rRNA from 1 species